CGCGCGGGGCGUGCGCCGUCCCGGUGCGGCCCGCCCUGCCACGGCCUGCCGGGCCCCCCGGCCGGUCCUCACCGCUCCCACCCCAGCGAUGGACCCCGGGCCCGGCCCCUGCGCUAAGCCGCCUUCUGCCGGGAAGUUCCUCCCGGAGUCAAACCCGGUGCCCGCCAGCUGCGCCACGGAGAGGGGGCCGGGGUAGGAGGCUGCCGGGAACUCAGGAAGCUGGGCGCGCUGGGCCCCCAACCCGAUGCCGAAAAAGGCUUCCAUCCGCUCCCCCGAGCAAUGCCACGCUGAGGGACAGAACCCCGCACCCCAGCGACGCUCGCCAGCCCCAUCCUUUGGCCUGGGCUGCUCUGACCUGGGGGUCACUUCAGCUGGAUGACAACAAAGCCUGGAGGAAAUCUGGAGUUUCCAGCGGGAGGAAGACAAGCACCAUUAAUGCUUAUCUGUGUAGGUUAACAUCUCUGACAUUCUGUCUACACCCACCACUAACACUCAGCUAGGAGAAGAAGAAAAUGAGCUGCAAAGAGAGAGGAGGUCUCUCCACUGACUGGAAUCUUAAGAAGAGUGUUCUAGUUUAGAACAUGGGGACUACAUGACAGUGUGAGGACACAUUUCCAUAGUAGUUACCCAAUCCCUGUUCGUACCUGGACCGACUGUGGGGAUCAUAUGAGCUGCUCCUGGAUCUGCUCCUGCUGGAUGUCCUAAUAGUAAUCACACAAAGGACCAUCAUCCUAUGGAUCAGGACACGACAGGCCAUACCAAAAAUCUAGACAUUUAUUUGCCCAUCAAGGUGAAAAUACCGUGAAAUCCUAAGCUAUAUUUAUUUUGUUUUAAUAUCAAAAGUAUAUUGGAUUUUUUAAAAGGCCUAUUGGAUUUCAUAAGAAAGAUGAAGUUUUAUGCAGUUCUCUGAGAUGCACAUAAAGAAAGUCACUGGGAAGGCUCUAAAUUAGGUGAGGAAGGGGAAAGGUCUGCUCAGGUAGGACACCUGUAAGUAAAGUAAAGCUGUAGUAGUGGAAAAAGAGGGAAAGCCGCUUAGGAGAACUAGAAAUCUGCUGCCCCAUCCCCAUACUUCUUCUUUUUGGUGCCCUCUCUGCAAUCCUAUCCCAAUUUCUAACCCACGUUAAGAGGUGAUUACAGAUGUGAACUUAGGUUAAGAAAAUGUAUGUGGGGGAGGGCCUUUUAAAAAUAUUUCUACUGUUUCUCUUGCCUCACUCUGAUAAGAUCCCAUCCUAGGAAUAGCCAGAAAUAAUUCCAUAGCUCUUUGAAAGAAGUAGAUAAGAAAAUAGCCAGGCUGGUAUUCAGCCAUGACAAAAUUCUUCUCAACAGCUGCCUAUGCAGCUCUUAAAAAGUGAACACGAUGGAGACCACAUUGCAGGGUGAGAUCACAAGCUUACCUGUGACUUUUGUAACUGCGGUAGGAACUGCUCCGGCUUCUACUUCGGCCUCUGCUGUACCAGCCUCUGCUCCGACUUCUAGAGUAGCUUCUUGAACUACAGUUAAAACAAGUGAAAAAACAAAUAAUUAUAUUAACUGCCUAGGGUGUUAAAAUUAAUUACUGGCAGGGCAGGAAGGGAAAACACAACAAGAGGAAAGUUCUCUCACAAAAUCCUCACAGUAGCUAUGACAGUGACAGCUAAUGAGGCAAUCCAGGAACAACAGUGGUUUAAAUCAAAAAGAAUAAAAUAAAGAAAAACCAGAAAAGGGUGGUACAAAUAUGUUCAUAGGAGCUCUAUUUGUAGCAUAAAAAAGGAAAUAAUCCACAUCUCAAUUAAUGGCAAAAUGGAUUAAAAAGAAUUAAGGCAUAGACAUACAAUGAAACAUUCUAAAGUAGGAAAAUGAAUGAACUACAGCUGCAUGUGUAUCUGCAGAACACAAUGUUGAGUGAAAAAAGGCAAACACAGAACAUCUAUACACAGAAAAGGAUUUUAUUUAUAAAAACAUUUGUGGUAAAACUAUAAAGAAAAACAACAAAAUUAUAACAAAAGUUUAGAAUAAUGGUUAACUCUAGGAGAGAGGAAAGAAAGUGGCAUGGUAUGUCAAAGCUCUAUUUUUUUUAAGCUAGAUGGCAGGUACCUGA